AUACGUACUAUGCUGAAUCCUAUUUAAAAAAAUAGGUACGGAGGAACCAAGAAAUAGGGGUUAAUCUUUAAAUGUUUAAAGAAGGGAAAACCUUGACCUAACCCGUCAGCUAACUUCGGAAGCAAGAAAGGUGGAAAAA
rnacentral:sRNA from 16 species